rnacentral:lncRNA from 1 species
AAGCAGGAACGGCCCACUUAGACCUUUCUAAUGUCUGAGUGGAGUGAAAGAAAUGGUUCAGCAAAGUCUGAAGAGACUUAUUUAUUAUUUCAUUGUUUAUUUGUUUCUCCUCCCUCUUUCUAUUGUGCAGGCGAAACAGAGAAAAUCUGAUGUUUGUAAGGAAAGAUCUGUUGGAAAAUGAUUCAUCUAUCCAUCAAGAACAGAAAAAUUCGAUAAAAAAAAAAAGAACAGAAAAAACAAAACAUAAAAGUAGGGUGAUGUAAGUUUCAUC